AGUGGAAUGGGGUUUAGGUUAAAAAUGAAAAUCAAUCUUGCCCCCUUUUAACAUAAACCCUAGCUAGUUCCUCAGGGAAGGGCCAUGGAACAUAUGCUGGUGCUAGCCACUGAUCGGAAUCAACAAUCAACGCAAACAUUCAUAAAUCUCCGCAUAUGUAAGAAAAACUCUCAUUAAUGCACAUAUUCGAGAUGAAGGAUCGAGCCUUUGGUUGGGACCGAGCUUCACAAUUUGGAACUCAAGUUAUGCCCAUUUACGAAUUCCGAGCUGAGGGAUCGAGCCUUAGGUAUAAUUGAGCUUCACUAUGCGAUUUGGACCUCCAACUUAGGCCUAUUUUUGAGCUCAGGGAUAGAGCCUCAGGUAGAACCGAGCUUUUCUUGGCGAUUUGAAAUUGGUGCUUGUCGGGAAAGCUUUUUAAUGAUUCAUUCUUAACAAUACGUACUCGAUUAUCCAUAAUUCUCCAUUGCAUAUGUUUGUUUCUAAAUAACCAGUUUGUUUUAUUGUGGCAAAGCAAAGAUAUGUUUUAUUUACUCU